AGUGAACGCUGGCGGUAUGCCUAACACAUGCAAGUCGAACGGCAGCACAAUAAGAGCUUGCUCUUACGGGUGGCGAGUGGCGGACGGGUGAGGCGUACAUCACCAUCUACUUUUUCUUGGAUGAUUACGUAAGAACACUUACACUAAUACCUCAUAUGACCUACGGGUGAGAGCAGUAGAGCUUCGCACCUUUCGCGUCUGAAUGAGCCGGUGUCGGAUUAGCUAGUUGGCAGGGUAAAGGCCUACCAAGGCGACGAUCCGUAGCGGAUCUGAGAGGAUGAUCAGCCACACUGGAACUGAGACACGGUCCAGACUCCUACGGGAGGCAGCAGUAGGGAAUAUUCGACAAUGGGCGAAAGCCUGACGCAGCAAUACCGCGUGAGUGAAGAAGGCCUUCGGGUUGUAAAGCUCUGUUGUUGGGAAAGAAAAGCAGCAGGUUAAUACACGGCUGUUUUGACGGUACCUAAACAAUAAGCACCGGCUAACUACGUG
rnacentral:rRNA from 1 species